rnacentral:rRNA from 1 species
AUACGGAGGAUGCGAGCGUUAUCCGGAUUUAUUGGGUUUAAAGGGUGCGCAGGCGGCCAUUUAAGUCAGCGGUUAAAUCGUGGGGCUCAACCCCAUUCUGCCGUUGAUACUGGGUGGCUUGAUUGCGGUCGAGGUUGGCGGAAUUCGUUGUGUAGCGGUGAAAUGCAUAGAUAUGACGAAGAACACCGAUUGCGUAGGCAGCUGACCAGACCGCAAAUGACGCUCAUGCACGAAAGUGCGGGGAUCGAACAGGAUUAGAUGCCCUGGUAGUCCGCACAGUAAACGAUGAAUACUUGUUUUCGGCGAUAUAAUGUCGGAGGCAAAGCGAAAGCGAUAAGUAUUCCACCUGGGGAGUACGCCGGCAACGGUGAAACUCAAAUGAAUUGGCGGGG